GAUGAACGCUGGCGGCGUGCCUAAUACAUGCAAGUCGAGCGAACAGACGAGGAGCUUGCUCCUCUGACGUUAGCGGCGGACGGGUGAGUAACACGUGGAUAACCUACUUAUAAGACUGGGAUAACUUCGGGAAACCGGAGCUAAUACCGGAUAAUAUAUUGAACCGCUUGGUUCAAUAGUGAAAGACGGUUUUGCUGUCACUUAUAGAUGGAUCCGCGCCGCAUUAGCUAGUUGGUAAGGUAACGGCUUACCAAGGCAACGAUGCGUAGCCGACCUGAGAGGGUGAUCGGCCACACUGGAACUGAGACACGGUCCAGACUCCUACGGGAGGCAGCAGUAGGGAAUCUUCCGCAAUGGGCGAAAGCCUGACGGAGCAACGCCGCGUGAGUGAUGAAGGUCUUCGGAUCGUAAAACUCUGUUAUUAGGGAAGAACAAAUGUGUAAGUAACUAUGCACGUCUUGACGGUACCUAAUCAGAAAGCCACGGCUAACUACGUG
rnacentral:rRNA from 1 species